GGAAACGUGAUCAUGUAGAUCGAACGGUCUCGAAAACCGUUCAGUGGGGUUAGAUUCCCCACGUUUCCGCCA
rnacentral:tRNA from 8 species